rnacentral:tRNA from 1 species
GUGCCCGUAGCUCAACCGGAUAGAGCACCGGCCUUCUAAGCCGGGGGUUGUGGGUUCGAGUCCCGCCGGGCGCG